GAUGAGUUCCAUGCCGUACUGGAAUGCACAAAAAGCAGAGCCCUGAGAGAAGCGCUAAGGAAAGUCUUGGACCUUCCUCCUGAGAUUGCUUUCCGCCGUACGGGUCCGGAUUGGCUUCAGAUGUUACUAUGCUCUGAAACUGAAGAAGUUAGAGCAAGAAUUCUCAUGAUGCUUUGGAGAAGCUGGCAUCGGCGUGAUGAUAUUGUGCAUGGGAACGGGAGAGAGACCAUUACAAAAUCUGUUAUGUUCCUACUGCAGUAUGAGGACGACAUGGCAAGGGCAUCCUUGACGCAAGGUUCUGAGUCAGGAAAGGAUUUAUGGCCCCUGGCCAUUAAAACACCACACGCGAUCGAAACGGACUGCAGGCAGUGGGCUGCUCCGACAGAAGGAACCAUCAAAAUUAACUCCGAUGCGUCCUACUUGCCUGACACAGGA
rnacentral:rRNA from 1 species